UACGAAGGGGGCUAGCGUUGCUCGGAAUUACUGGGCGUAAAGAGCGCGCAGGCGGUCGAUCAAGUCGAGUGUGAAAGCCCCCGGCUCAACUGGGGAGGGUCAUUCGAUACUGAUCGACUCGAAGGCAGGAGAGGGUAGUGGAAUUCCCGGUGUAGUGGUGAAAUGCGUAGAUAUCGGGAGGAACACCAGUGGCGAAGGCGACUACCUGGCCUGUUCUUGACGCUGAGGCGCGAAAGCUAGGGGAGCAAACGGG
rnacentral:rRNA from 1 species